UACGUAGGUGGCAAGCGUUAUCCGAAAUUAUUGGGCGUAAAGCGCGCGUAGGCGGUUUCUUAAGUCUGAUGUGAAAGCCCACGGCUCAACCGUGGAGGGUCAUUGGAAACUGGGAAACUUGAGUGCAGAAGAGGAAAGUGGAAUUCCAUGUGUAGCGGUGAAAUGCGCAGAGAUAUGGAGGAACACCAGUGGCGUAGGCGACUUUCUGGUCUGUAACUGACGCUGAUGUGCGAAAGCGUGGGGAUCAAACAGG
rnacentral:rRNA from 1 species